CUGUAUUAAUUCAUUCCCUUUGCACGGCUGUGAGAACAAACAGAACGGAAAGAAAAGGGCAACUCUACUGAAUUCUUUUUAACUAGAUGGGGUAAGUGCUACGCUAAAAUUCAGUCUGAAGAGCAGCUCGGAAUUACAAAAACACAGGGUCUAAUGAAAAGUCCAACGGGUGACUCUGCUUGGGACUGUAUGUGGGGAAGAGACAGAGAUGUGGGGCUGCAGCUGGGGAGCUCCUGCCUACCUGCAGGGCUCGGGUGGUGGGAUCUUGCGAGGCGCCAACCCAAGCAUUCCUGUGCAGUACCUGCUCCACCCUCCUUCCCCUUCCAGAACCCCAUCUGCCAAACACAAUUUGUCGUCAGUCUAAACAUGUGUAUCUGAUGUUGGAUCCUGGAGCUGGCACGAAGCUGAGGAGCUGUUGUGUGGUCGCCUGAGACUGAAGCACCGCACUGAAGAGAGAGGGAGGGAGCCAGAUGGAUGUCUUGUGCGUGAAGUAUGAAGCUUGACAAGUCUGGCAUUACACACUCUGAUACUACAUUUGACUGAGUCAGCUUUUGAUCUGAGUUACACCAUGAUAAAUCUAUGUAACUCCACUGAGGUUUACUUAACAAAGUUAAGUAUUAAGGUUUAUGUUAGUCGAGUUACUCUGUGUUUUACCGGAUGCAACUAAGAUCAAAAUCCUCUCUGAAUUAUAUUGGUUUUAAUUUUAAGCAAUCAAAAUUUAAACAACAAAUUCUGCAAGUGUGUGGAAUGUUGAAAAGACAAACUCUCUUUUCACUUAUAUCUGUCUAAGCUGAGCACUUAGGAUUUGAUACAGGUUCAGUUAAGACUGAAUGUGUCCGUAGAUGUGUAUUUUAAACAAGACUCAAACUGUGGUUUGGUGAGUCUCACCUCAGACUAUAGCUUAACAAAAACUUUUCCUGUCUUUUAGUAACCACUUUCCACCUCCUAUUGCU
rnacentral:lncRNA from 1 species